rnacentral:rRNA from 1 species
GACGAGAAGACCCUGUGGAGCUUCAGACACCAAGACAGACCACGUCAAAACUCCCUAAUAAAGGGCUGAACUAAAUGGACCCUGUCCUAAUGUCUUUGGUUGGGGCGACCACGGGGAAAUACAAAACCCCCGCGUGGAAUGGGAGCACCCUUGCUCCUACAACUGAGAGCUUCCGCUCUAAUAAACAGAAUUUCUGACCAACAAGAUCCGGCAACGCCGAUCAACGAACCGAGUUACCCUAGGGAUAACAGCGCAAUCCUCUUUUAGAGCCCAUAUCGACAAGAGGGUUUACGACCUCGAUGUUGGAUCAGGACAU